GGCCAUAUGACUACUGCUGACCAAUGGACUGUGAACAGAAACGACAGCAUCACUCCCAUGGAGCCUCCUCCAUCUGUCUUCCCUAUUGUGACAAUCUCAGAGGCUACGUUAUUUCCAUGGCUGGGCUACAAGGUGGUGAAAGGCUGCCCAACCUGACACAGCAAGAGGGCAGCCGUCUGCAAACUAGAAAGAGAACCCUCACCAGGAACUGGAUCUGCUGGCACCUUGAUCUUGGACUUCCCAGCCUUUAGAGCUGUGAGAAAUGUCACCCUCAGGUCAAUGGGAUAUUUGUUACGGCACCAGGUACUGUGUGAGAACUCCACCUUUAGAGAGGCUCCAGGGAGCCUGUGUGCUGUGUCCCUGAGGAGACAAUGAAGGUGUUUGACACUCAGUUUGAAUAUUGGGUCACGGCAAAGCUGACUGCUGCUGAAGGAGAGAUGCCUUCUUAUGGCAAACCAUAAGAAGCAGCAGAAGUCAUGAGCAGGCUGAAGCUAUGAGGCCGAGACAAAAUGACGCAUUGCCACAAAAACAGGGACAAACAGGCAACAGGCAGAGCCCCUGGGAAUCAGUAAUGUCUCGCUACCACUGAGGCCUUGGGACUAACUCAGAUCCUGUACUGCUUUCUUGGGGCCUAUUCUGAUUCCAGUCCCUGUCCUUGGGGUCCCCUAAGAUCCCUGUAGCCUUGUAAUAAGCCCAUAUUAUCAUAUUUCCCCUGCUGGCUUCACCUUAGAGCAUUUCCAACAAUUUCCAGUGCUUUUCCCCUUCUCACACCACCGGGCCUUUGCACGUGCUAGUGCCUCCCCAACUAGCCCUGCCUUCUCCUUCACUCACACAACUCCUACUAAAUCUCUCAGACUCCUCAGCUGUGUCCCUUCCUAGGGGAGGACUCUCCUCCCUCCAGUGAGCCUGGCAGUCCUCCCUGGGAUCCCCUGCUCCUUGUCUUCCCUGCCGUCCUCACUGCUGUGCUUGUUCUCUACUCAGAAGGAGGCAGAGGCUGGCCUGCCCCCACUCUCCUGUAGACUGACCAGAUGAAUUGACCUGGGCAGGGCAGGUGUGUUUGACCAAUUAUCUGGGCACCCCAUGGCUCAGUCAAGUCGACACAUAAAGUUAACUGCCAUAGGGCCCCUUCGUUGUAUUUGUCUAUGAAUAAAAAAUGGCAUCAACUCCAGGUAUCUGAGGGUUCUGGAGGCAGGUUCUGUGAUCCCUUUUUACAGAUGAGGAUGCGGAGGUCCAGUUGUCACUCACCCAGAUCACACUCUUAUCUGCUGAUGGCAGGAGUAUUUGCUGGGAUGUGUGAGCCCGGCCAUCUCCCUCGGGACACAUCGGCUCAUUAAAUUUGCCAGCCCUUGCCUGAAAAAGUAUUUAAUUUGCCUUUUACAAUGCACCGAUUGCAAGUUAAUUUUGAAAGUUAUAGGUGGCAUUAGAAUUUAUUAAUAACAUUGGAAAUAAAUCUCCCCAGAAUUCAAUGAAUUGAAAA